CCCUAUCUUCAUCCACUUUUCAGAGUAAUGUGUCAAUAUUGCAAUGGAUGUGAAAGUGCUCUUUUUCCCUCACCUCCAUCUCUCUUUUUCUUUCUUUCUUUUUUUUUUAAUUUAAAAAUUACUUCAGAGACCACAACAGCCAAAAGAUACCUAACUUUUGGGCAAUUUUCUCAGAAUCACCCUUAACGUUUUACAGGAUGGGGGUUGUGGAAAUUUGGCUGAUUGAAUGAGUCUCCUCUCCGGGGCUCCAAAAACCCGGUAGAGCUGAUUUGCGCAGCGAAAGAAGCAUUCUGGGGGAAAAGCUUCACUUCCUCAAAGAGACAGGACAGAGGCAUCUUCAGCAGAGAACAUUGUUCUGCUUUUGGGGGAAACAAUGGCUGAAGAACAACUUCACACAGGAAGAGGCUGGGAUAAUUGAAUUCCUUGCGGAAUCACCUCUGCUUCUCAUGUCGUGGGUCAACGGUAGGAGUGGUUGCUAAGUGAAUGACCUUUGUGUUUCCACUGAACAAAUCUUCAAAGAGAAAAAAAAUACCUAUUCAGGAAUGAACAGAACACUUUGAAAAUGUCACAGGGGACUUGGAACCAACCCAAAUGUCCAUCAGUGAUAGACUGGAUUAAGA